UUUUUUGUUUUUUGUUUUUUUUUUCAGGUAUCCUUGCUAUAAUGCAGAACAAAAAAUUAAAAUUUCCUACAUCAUAUGAUGUUCAUGUUAGCGGGUCUAAGAUUAAGCACAUGGUAUUUAUAAGCUAAAAUUAAUUCAAAAGGCAAGAAUGUCUUAAUGUCUUCGUUCUUCAAUUUUGUAUUCUUCAAGAAUGUAUUAAUAUAAAAACUGUGGCUAACCAGUUCUUAUUCUAUAGAACUGUAUUGACACCUGUAGUGGAUCGUGUUACUUCUUCAUUCUCAUCCAAUUUUAGUAGAAUCAAAUUGCUUUUUAUUUUCAUAUUACUAUCUACUAUAGAUUCUUCAGAUUUAGAAAAUAUGAGUAUGAUAUAUAAAGACCACUAGACUUUUAAAACCCUUUCUGUGAAUUUAUGCAUAUAUGUAGAUAUGUAAAAACAUUGUUGAUUUCCAAUUCUGUUUUUCCAUAGGAAUGAAAUUUUUAUAGACACUGUUCUUUUUAACUUAAAUAUUUUAACAUAAAUUAUUUACAUGGAUUUUUAGUACAAUUCAUUCUUAUGUGUGCCCCGUAAUCAUGUUUUUGUGAGAAGAUUACUUUCUUACUGAUACAGUAAAGAGGAAUAAAAAAAUUAGGAACUGAAAUAAACAAGGGUAAACAGAAGGAGACUGCUGAUCUUGAGAUCAGAACAGUAUAUGUUAAGACAAGAGAAAAAAACUUAAACUGAAGAAGGAAUAUGAACUAUAAAAUAGAAAUCUUUGUAAUUGUAAACUGAUGGGAAAGGCACCCAGGCCUUUCUCCAUUAGUUACUUUUUCCUUUAGGCUUAAAAUCUUUCAUUCUAAUGGGCCAUUUUCUGCACUGUUUACUGAGGUAAAAAAUUCCUCUAAAGUCAAUCAUUGUUUUCCACUUUUUGGACUGUGCAUUUGGCAGAAUGCAGUACCUUUUCUGUGUUUUGAGAUGAACUAGCACAUGGCUUCUACAAGAUAGUUUUUAACUCGUUGGGGUCACUAAGAAUUACAUGAUGGUAUACUUCUUCCUAAAAUUUGUUAUGGUAGAUUUAGUGAGAAAUUAAAUCAAGAAAUCUCAUUGUAGCAUAUUUUAAUAAGUGAAUACCAAAUACAUAAAGUAAGAUAUAUAUAUAUAUAUUAAUAUAUAUGUAUAUCAGUUUGGAAAGAAAUAGUCUGUGGGGACCAUUACGGUAACAGAAUUGCAUUAUAUAUUACACAUUACGUGGAUGUUGGAAUGUAUCACCUGGGGGUCUCCAUUCAUUAGCAAUCAUGUCUGUAUAUAAAACUGUUUUUUUUUUUUUUUUAACCAAACUAGCAUUUUAUUUUGUGAGUGACAAUUGACUGAUAUUUUUGAAUAAGUGUUAUCUGGGUUUUGGAAUUGUUCACUGAUCAGUUUGAGAAGGUAUGUUACCAGAAUUUUAGAGUUAACUCCAAUGUGAAAAAGUGUACACAAAAAGUAAUUCUUUUCUAGCUAUAAGAAUGUAAAAUACUUGCAUAUAGUGUAUAUAUUGUGUAACAUAUGUAUAUUUGGUCAUAAAGGCAUAGAAUUGGAAACAUUGUAAAAUUAAGCACUUUAAUUCCUAUUAAAUAUUAAGCAUUUGUAUCUUGUAAAUAAAUACAUC
rnacentral:lncRNA from 1 species